AAAUGUCAUCAUGACUGCACAAGUUCAUAUUUCACUUUGAACUGUGCUUCUGGACUCUUCUGAUUCCUCAUACACUUAAUAUUCUCCAACUCCAAUCUUCACGUCCAAGUAUAUAAUAAAUGCCCACCACCUCAAAUGCUAGAUAAAUGAUCCUGCCUUCCAACAAGCUCUAAGCAUCUCUAUUGUGUUGGAUUGUUGCUUUGCAUUUCAGAGAUGAAUUAUGACCCCAAAUAUGCCUAUCCCUAUCCUGCUCAAGGUGUUUAUCAAGGACCUCCUGUGAUGGCUCCUCCUCAGUAUGCAGCGGCUCCAGCACCACCUCCAAGAGAAACGGGUUUUCUUGAGGGAUGCCUUGCAGCCUUGUGUUGCUGUUGCCUCUUGGAUGAGUGUUGCUGCGACCCCUCUCUUAUAUUUAUCCCCUAAAACUAUGGCUAUGGCCGUACUUAAUCCAUAGAAAAUGAGGAGUUCUUUGUAUUCCUUAAAGAUGUAGUCGAAUUAUACAUGUACACAUUCUGGUCAUCUUCAAUAUUUUUGUUGUUUUCCA